ACCUACUGUGAAUACACGCGGUUGCGCUCGCUCACCUGACCAAAUUCACCGCGCGUCUCGCGCACGGCUGCUGGGCACGCUCCAUAACCGAUCACAAGAAAAUGGAAUGCAAAGAGGGAAAACGGAUCAGGAGAUCGCGAAUCCUGCGGAUCACUGCCGAAGCAUCAAGUGGGUAGCCCUGAAGAGGGCUGUUGGGUUCUUCACAGGAGUUCGGUGCGCUGCUGGCAGACGACGCCGGGCGCGUGUGUGCUGCUUAACCUCCGAAACCGUAGAGGGUGCGGCCCUGACGCUUGAGAGCGUACACGACAUCAAGAGAAGGGACA
rnacentral:lncRNA from 1 species